UCCCAAGUGGCUCAGUGGUAGAGAAUCUGCCUGCAAUGCAGAAGACCUGGGUUCGAUCCCUGGGUUGGGAA
rnacentral:tRNA from 1 species